CCUACGGGGGGCUGCAGUGGGGAAUAUUGGACAAUGGGGGCAACCCUGAUCCAGCCAUGCCGCGUGUGUGAAGAAGGCCCUCGGGUUGUAAAGCACUUUCAGUGAGGAAGAACGCCUGGUGGUUAAUACCCAUCAGGAAAGACAUCACUCACAGAAGAAGCACCGGCUAACUCCGUGCCAGCAGCCGCGGUAAUACGGAGGGUGCGAGCGUCAAUCGGAAUUACUGGGCGUAAAGCGCGCGUAGGUGGCUUGAUAAGCCGGUUGUGAAAGCCCCGGGCUCAACCUGGGAACGGCAUCCGGAACUGUCAAGCUAGAGUGCAGGAGAGGAAGGUAGAAUUCCCGGUGUAGCGGUGAAAUGCGUAGAGAUCGGGAGGAAUACCAGUGGCGAAGGCGGCCUUCUGGACUGACACUGACACUGAGGUGCGAAAGCGUGGGUAGCAAACAGGAUUAGAUACCCUGGUAGUC
rnacentral:rRNA from 1 species